AAAAAAUUACGCUUUGAUAUUUUCAUACGGACUUGUGAAACUCUGUCUUAGAGCUUUUGGUUGAUAGAGAAUAGAUUUCAUCAUAAAUAUGAUUUAUUAAAGAAUAAGAAGAAAUGAAUGGACAUAAUUGUGUUAACUGACUCUACGCUUCUGACUGGACGAACUUGCUCGUGAACUUAUCCAAGUCUACAAUAGACUCUCAGUUUUAAUUAUUUUUAUCGAAUUUUCAUACGUGUCAUUUGUAAAUACACUCAUUGUUCAUAAUGAGAAAAAAAUAAAAAGAGUUUAAAAAAACAU
rnacentral:misc_RNA from 1 species